rnacentral:misc_RNA from 1 species
AGCCAAGGCACUCAAUUUGCUACCUGAUCAACAAACAAAACUUCUAUUUGCUGUUGAUGGAAGGCCAAAAUUCAACCCACCAUUACCAAAAGGGUACUUUGGAAAUGGAAUAGUGUUGACAAAUUCUGUAAGCCAAGCAGGUGAACUUCUAGAGAAGCCACUGUCACAUGCAGUUGGGCUAGUUCAGGAUGCAAUAAAAAUGGUUACAGACUCUUACAUGAGGUCUGCUAUAGAUUAUUUUGAAGUGACAAGAGCAAAGCCUUCCCUGGCUUCUACUCUGUUGAUAACUACUUGGUCUAGACUAUCUUUUCACACUACAGAUUUUGGAUGGGGAGAGCCAAUUCUG